CGCGCCAGUUAUGUGCAGGUGCAAAGUGAUUAAGCUGACCUUUCCGCUAGCAUCUUACCUGCAUUGCUCUGUAGAAUCUAAAGUUCUUAAAUGUAACGUGAACAAGUAAUAUUACUAAAAGAAGCGUACAUAUCAACCCCGACGUCCCGAGUCAUUACUUUGAAGACAGUUAUUCUAAAAGUAAUUGCUCUUUUGACCAAUCAGAUAUGCUCUGAAAAAGAGCUGAUGCGAAAAUAUCUAACGUGAUAAUUUCCCAUCAUUAUUCAACAGGCUAAUGGGUCUCCAGUUGUCUAUAUAAAGAGUAUCCUUAUUAAGUUUGGGAAUCAAAGUAAUUACACCUUGUUUUAAGGAAGCCGGUAACUCCCCUUUUUCUAUUGAUUCGUGAAACAUAGCAAGAAUGAAAGGAAUCAAUUUAUCAUUGAAUGCUUUAUAAAACUCGCUUAUUAAACCAUCAUUUCCAGGGGACCUAUUGUCCUUAAGGCUUUUAAUACAGUCUUUUAUCUCAAUUUCAGAUAACUCAUCAUCACAAAAAUCCCUGAAAUCAUUAUCUAUUUUAGAAAUGUUUGCAACACGUCAUGCUCUUAUCAACUGAGCUACGAAGGAGCACGUCGACGUCACUAGAAUGAUGACAAGCCAUUUUAAGGGAUUCUAAAGGGAAUCAGAAUUCCAAACUAAUUUCUAUGGCAACACAGUUGUCAAUUUUGUAAACAAUCAUUUUCGAACCGACGUUCUAUGGAACGAUUUCUGUGCGAAAACAACAACUUUGCUGCUGACAACAAACCUGUUUGAUUUUUGAGACCUGAGAAAAUGCCUGGGUGCUUUUCAAGACUGGCGGAGAGAGUGCGUGGACGUCGGCGGCCUACUGCGUCGACAGGUUGUUCAAAUUCAUUUGUGGCUUGUUUUUCUUGUCUUUUUCUGUUUUGCAGGGUUCGUGAUCGUCGACAGGUGGACAGCGACUUCGAAGAGGAAACAACUGUCCUGGAUGAGGUCCAGUUGGAUGUGCCAUUGGAUGAUGUGCCAGAUGUUCCACAGCUGCCAGUCCUCCUUGAUGUCCAGAAUGCUGCUAUCAUCCUUGAGGAUGUGCCAGAUGUGCAGACUAUCCUUGAGAACAAUGCCGGUCCGGUGGUUAAAGCUUGGAGAACUUUCCAGUUCAUCAGCCCCAUCAUCACCUACAUGCGUGGGGGAUCCCAGCAGGUGGUGGUGAGGAUGCACCACGUGAGUAGGGUGAGAGGCCUGGAGACUCAACUGGUGUGGGCCAUCUCCAAGGAGACAGCCAGGCUUAGUCCAGAGGGCAUCCCCUACUGUGCCACCAAAGUGCAGUCCAUCACUUGGAUCCAGGUAAGACGUAAAUACUACUGAAACAGUAGUAGAUUAGGCUUUUCUUCACUUAUUCCAUUUGGCCUUAACAUGUAUUCUCUCUCUGUCAGCGUGUGGCUGGCAGGGUGACCCACUAUGCGUCUCACCUCCGCCACGAGACGUCUGUGGACGUGACGCUUGGCUGCAACCAGGUAAAUAAACGAUUUCCUAUGUAUAUAGACUAGACAUUACUGGGCAUUUUUGCAUUAGAUUUGGUGUGUUAUCUAAUAACGUGUGUGUGUGGUAAACAGGUGUGUUGUGUGUGUUUUGAGCAGCAGACUGAUGUCUCAGUGGUGUACGCCACUCUCCACAUGGGGCUGGACGGGCUUCUCUCCUCUUCAGCGUGGUCGGAGGCUGCCUCCUUCUCUACUCCCACCACUCAGCAGUUCACUGACCCAGAGCCUGAGGGCCACAACUGCUAUGAGGUCAGACGUUACACACACAUACUAUUGACUAGGAGCAUUAAGAUCCUUCCAUUGACCGAUUGUUUGUUAUGUCAUUGCACUGGUCACUGAUUUUGAAUGCUUGUUUUGUUGUCGUAGGGCUGGGAGGAGGACCUGCUGCCUGAGGAGAGGGAGGUUCCUCUGCUAAAGUGAGUUCCUCUAAAUGUCUGUGUAGUCUGAGCUUGUCAGAUGCUGAAGGAUUGUGGUCAUAAUGCUGUUAUCCCCCAUUGACUCUAAUGGUUGACAUGCUCCAUUCCCUCCCUUUCACAGCCUCUACCUUACCACCAAGAGAGUGGAGGACAUCGCCCUGAGGCUCGUCUCCUUGCGCCAGGCCUUCACUGUGAGUGGACCCACUGUUCUUUUUGUCUCUGUGACUUCUUGUUCUCCAAGAGGAAGAUGUCUCACCCUAACUCUUCCCUCUUCCCUAGACCCUGCUUGGUUCCACCCUGAGCAGGAACCAUCUGUUUGUGGCGGGAAAGGUCCUCCUGGGCGCCCUUGUUCAGGCCAACCACAUGGUAACUCACUAACUCAUUCUCUUUCAAGGGAAAGAGAGCAUCCCUGAGGGGAAUGUGUUCUGUUCACUAAGAUGCUCUUUUCUUUGUCAUAGGACGAGGCCAAAUUCAUCCGUACCUAUAACAACUUUGUGGACUACCUGAGUGACCCCUCCAAGCGGAAUGACAUUGAGAGGGAGCUGGCUGAGGCAAAGGUGAGUUCAUUAACUCUUUCAAGUCUCACUGAGUUCUUCCACAUGCAUGUCUUUAUACAUCACAGUAGCUGAUCUAUAUGAAAUCAUUCCUAUUUUCUCCAAAUGUGUUUUCUUGUCCUAGAUCCAUCAUGUGAACAUGAUAGAUGUCCUCUUUGAGCUGGUGCUGUUUGGGUUGAUGACAGCUCAGAAGUCCCUGAUGGUGGUAAGUAGCAUCUCACUGGUACAUGUUUUGAUAUCGCUCUAUUAGCAGUUUCACUUAAAUUCCUCUUCUCUUCUCUCCUCUUUUCUCCUCCUUUGUUUCCUUUAGCACCCUGGUGGGUUCGUGGAGCGUCUGUACGCUCUCCUGUACUCCUUCCUGCCCACUGCUGCCAACAUGGAGUCAGAGGCUGAUAGAUACCUGCUGCUGCUCAAUGUAAGAGUCAAGAGGUUACUUCCUGUUUACUUCCAUAUUCUUAGUGUACUUCCUGUUUACUUCCAUAUUCAUGGUUAACCAGGUUCCAAUGCCAUUUUAGGGGGAGUAUUUCUAAUGGUCUCUCUCCUCUUGAUAAGCUAGUAACUCAGAGCCAUUUUCUAUGUGUUGUGUGGUGUUCUCUUCAGGGCGGACUGAUGGCUCUGCUAGAUGACAUGUUUGGCCAGCAGCUGGCCUGGUACUUUAACCCAGAGUCUCUGGUCACUGAGCUCUCCAGCCUCCUGGAGUACCACUUGGAGAACCUCAUGGCCAGCAUGUAGUCCUACUGCAGGGACCAUACUCCUUUCUCCUUCUCUCUCUCUUUUGAAGGAAUUGAGGACUUGAAGUGCUUUGUUGAACUCUGAUUAGUUAACACCCAUUAAUGUAAUGUAUUCUCUUGUUUUCUCUCCCCACAGGAUUAUUGUGACACUUUGCCACCCAACAGGGAUCUAGACACCAAUGCACUACAUUACUUUGCACUGAAUUUGACAUUUUA
ensembl:lncRNA